UCUUUGCUGUGAAAUACUAUUAUUCAACCCAUAUUGUACUAUGUAACGCAACAGCAAUAGCUUCGCCGUGUAAACAAUGUCUGUACUCGAAUAUGCAUUCAUUAUAAAACACUAUUGUUAAAGCUGAAAAUUUGUCGGAUUCGCCAAUUAUUAUAUAGAAUUAAAUCUAUAAAGUAAUAACAGACAUUAUACUUUUCUAACGAGCUAUUUUCAAUGAAUAAACUAUAGAGAUUAUCACCAUUCGGACUACUGAACAACUGAUGUUACAAGUCGUUGGCGUGAGAAAAGGUAGGGGAAUAAUGUCGUUUAAUCGUUUCGCAUACUUACUGCAGAUACAAGUGUGGAAUAAUUGAAUAAUAUUAAGAAUAUUAUGUAACCCAUCGUAUUAAACAGCGAGGAUUGUGUGGGAACAGUCUGCAGCCCCCAAAAAACCGGUUGACCGUUAACGUAGAAAAACAGAGAGGGCACCGACGUAAUUCACCCUCAGCUCAUAUGAGUGUUGAGGAAUCCUUUAAUAAUAUUGUGACCGUGGGCGAACGAGGAUUCAAAAAUUAAUUCUUACUAUAUUUGUUAGUAGUUUGUUUUACAGUGCUUCGAUGCGAGGCCGAAAAGGUAUUUCACUAGUAUUUAUUAUGAUGUAUAUUUUUCGUGUUCAUAAAAAUAUUCAGAUAUUACUGGUCGAUUUUGCCAAUAAAAACACGACAAGAAACCAAACUCGAUAACAGCUGGGAAAAUCUAUUUCAAAAAUUGAAGAAAUCUCAAUUAGUUUAGGCUAUUUGAAAAAUAUCUCAAUUUGCCAAAAAUGGCAAAUUCAAUAUUUUUUUCUGCAUAUUAAAAUCAAUUAGAUCUUUACGAAAUUUUAAUCGAAUAUACUACAGACAAAAGACCUUUCUUUUGAUAUGCUAUUUGUGAUAAUACAAUAGAAAACUUCAACACAGAAAGUAUUUGAACAAAAUCACCUGCACAUAACCAAAUAUUUGUUUUCAUUUAAGCUUUUCGAAACGUUUGCAUUCUUUAAACU